rnacentral:rRNA from 1 species
CCAGCAGCCGCGGUAAUUCCAGCUCCGCAAGUGUAUUCCUAUACUGUUGCGUUUAAAUAGCUCGUAGUUGGAUCUGCGUGUUCAGCGCGCGGUGCCAUUCACUUUGGCCACUGCGACGCGACACUUCAGGUCAGUCGACGGCGCUCUCCUCGUGUGGGCGCAGUUGCUGGCGAGUUUACUUUGAACAAAUCAGAGUGCUCAAAACGGGCGUUUCGCUCGAAUGUUCUUGCAUGGAAUAAUGGAAUAGGACCUGGCGUUCUAUUUUGUUGGUUUUCGGGACGUGGGUAAUGAUUAAGAGGGACAGACGGGGGCAUUUGUACUGCGACGUGAGAGGUGAAAUUCUU